rnacentral:rRNA from 1 species
CUGUACCGGGGACAGAUUAACAGGAUUAGAUACCCUGGUAGUCCACGCCCUAAACGAUGUCAACUAGGUGUUGGGAGGGUAAAACCUUUUAGUACCGGAGCUAACGCGUGAAGUUGACCGCCUGGGGAGUACGGCCGCAAGGUUAAAACUCAAAGGAAUUGACGGGGACCCGCACAAGCGGUGGAUGAUGUGGAUUAAUUCGAUGCAACGCGAAAAACCUUACCUACCCUUGACAUGUCCAGGAGCCCUGAGAGAUUGGGGUGUGCCCGAAAGGGAACUGGAACACAGGUGCUGCAUGGCUGUCGUCAGCUCGUGUCGUGAGAUGUUGGGUUAAGUCCCGCAACGAGCGCAACCCUUGUCGUUAAUUGCCAUCAUUGAGUUGGGCACUUUAGCGAGACUGCCGGUGACAAACCGGAGGAAGGUGGGGAUGACGUCAAGUCCUCAUGGCCCUUAUGGGUAGGGCUUCACACGUCAUACAAUGGUCGGUACAGAGGGUUGCCAACCCGCGAGGGGGAGCCAAUCCCAGAAAGCCGAUCGUAGUCCGGAUUGCAGGCUGCAACUCGCCUGCAUGAAGUCGGAAUCGCUAGUAAUCGCGGAUCAGCAUGUCGCGGUGAAUACGUUCCCGGGUCUUGUACACACCGCCCGUCACACCAUGGGAGCGGGUUCCGCCAGAAGUAGGUAGCCUAACCGCAAGGAGGGCGCUUACCACGGCGGGGUUCGUGACUGGGGUGAAGUCGUAACAAGGUAACCAAUCUU